UCCAACUUUGUGCUGCAUUUCUCCUCCUGCUGCUCCUCCUGCUCCUGCUGCCGCUGCUGCGUGUGUGUUGGAGUCAAUCCGGGCAGAAAAUGGAGGCUCGUUUCAUCACGCUGAGCCCCCGCGCUUAGACCCACGCACACGGACGGACUUUUACCCACGACAACGCGUCGUAGUUCGGGCGAGUUUCGCGUCGCAAAAGUGGGACAGAAAGUCCACUCUUUACGUCCAUCACAUGGCACAGAUUGGCAGCAUCAUGGUCUGGCUCGGCCGUGCCCUCAUGACCGGCUGCAUUUCCUGGAAUAAGCUGGAACCCGAGCCUUGAAAAA